ensembl:lncRNA
GACCAGGAAAAAAAAAAAAGGUGGGGUGGGGAGACUUGGCAGAGGAAAUCUUAUGGGUAUAGGGGAACUGCAGAUCUCUGAAUUCCGAAACAAGAGCUAGAGCUGAAAUGUGAUUCUCUAGUGCCUGGCGUAGCUAGCAUCUUGCCGGGUACAAUUGUGCAGGAUGCUCAGUGGAGCCCUUUGGAUCGCACAAUGAACUUGGGGGGACCGUGCAGCCGAGCAAGCCAGUAAGGCACCUGGAAGUUUGGCUAGGGAGGAUUUCGAGGGGGGUUUUCUGAUGCUUAGGAGAAUCCUGCCUGCUUUCAGCUGUGUGGAGGAGGACUUCAGUUUCCCCAUGAGGGGCCCACUUGGAAAAGCCGUCUGUGCAGACUCCCGACUGAGCUGCUGUGUUUGUUAUUUAGCAAAAACCUUUCUCACCUUUGCUGAUUUUGUUCAUGCGAUUUACACCUACUGAGCCGCGGGAAGGAUUUUAGGAUGGAUUGUCUGUGCAUUGUCACCACCAAGCAGAACCAGGGGAAAUGUCCAUCCCAGAACUGUUCAGUGGAACCCCCUGCCUGGAUGCCUGUCCACCACUGUACUGUAAGUCUGAGAUUUUUGAUUCCCAGUUUGGUGUGGCAAAAAGCUGAGAGUUCUCAGCACCUUCUUGGUGACUUUUUAAGAUUCUGUAAGAGGAAUGAAGCUUUGGAGAGGAGAAUACAUAUAUUAUGAGAAGAUAAUGUAUCAUAUUUUUCUAUAAUAGUGAAUCCUGUGAUUUUUUGAAACAGAGGAACAGGAGCAGGGCUCCUAAAUGGACUAUUGAUGAGUUGAAUUUGGAUGAUCAUUAAAAUGGAUGGUUGUUGUUUUAUUCCCCCCCUUAUUGCCUGCAUAUCAGCAAUAUUUGAUAUCAGAGACAAGCAGAGGGGAACUUCACUGUCAUUUCUCCUUUUGACAGGCUAAUAGUGAUGAGUACACUGAUUUGCAAUUUUCAAGUCUUCCUGGUUUAAUAAUAGUCUUACCAGCUCUGCAUUUGUGUAUAGUCUCUCAUCAGAGGAUCUGGAAGUGCCUUAGAAACAAAUAGGUACCAUGUUAUUAUCCCUGUUUUACAGAUGGGGAGCCUAAAGACAAAGGAAGUCAGAGGCCUUCCCAGGGUGGAACAGUAUGUCAAAGACAGAGCCAGGAAUAGAUACCAGAUGUCCCACCUCUCUGUUCCUCCCUAACUUGUUCUUCUACAGAGAGCUGAGGAGCAGGUGGAGAAAGUGUCUGAAUGGCUCACUUCUCUCUGAUUGCUUGUGGAAGUCAAAGUUAAAUGUGUUGAUUGGACAGCAGGGAUUUAUUCCUUUGGCAUCAGAAUUGUGUUUUUGGUAAACUACUUGUAUUCUAUGAAUUGUGUUGUUUGUGAUUCAAAGUAUCAUAUUCUAGAAUUUCAUGCUUGUGGGCUUCUGGCCUUUCAACUUCUAUACAAGUCAGAGAAUGUGGACUGAUACUUAUUCAGUAUGGUCACUGGGUAGUCCAUGAAUAGUUCUUACUGUAUACUACUUUGGGGUUUUGAAAUGUAUUUUGGGUGUAACUCUGGCUUUGCGCCAAGAAUCUAAAGCAGCAUCAAUGGAAGAAAGUUAAGGGCAUUGGAUUUUAGUUUUUUUACCCUCAUUGAUGCCCUUUGCUGUAUAGUUACCUCCUCGUCAGUACCAUUCACAGAGCUCCCCUUAAAUUUUAAUUUAAUUUUGAUGGGUUUUGGUGUAAAUCUUUUUAAAUUUAGUUGUUCUCUCUCUGAGUGUGUUUGGAUCUCCUUUUUCCUUCUUGACUCAAUUUUUACCAAUUGAGAAGUCAAAUUUAAGUCUAAGGUGGGAGUUGGAUGGAGCAGAGGAGGAAAGAUUGGUCCAGCUGUAAGAAGAUGAGAACUUGAUGUGACCAUAAUAUUCAGAUAUAUAUUGUCUUAUAAUUUUAAGAAACCAAGACUUUUCUGAUUAUUGACAUGCAUAUGGUAUCAUACAAAGGAACAUCAAACAAUCCUAAGCACUGUCAAUGUGCAUCACCAUUUUAAUGAGAACUUCAAACUCUCUCACUCAUUGGAGAUGUUCAGAAAAAUGACAGAUAACCACAUAGAGUGUGUUAAAGUAGGGAUUAUUUUAUAGAUAUGGGUUGGAAUCAAUGUGUGCUAAUGACUUUGGUAACUCUGAAAUUCUGUGAUAUUCUGAAAUCUUUCUAUUUGCCAUUUUUUACAAUGUUGUGUGGUGAACAAUAUGAUGAACACCUCCAGGGAAUUUUAGGUGAAAGAGCAAUCAAGAUGGGGAAGAGAAGGAUUUCUUAGAGAAUAUACUUCCGGAGACUUUCUGAACACAUAGGAGAGUAUAAAUGGGAGAGAGUGGAAGGGGGAGGGAAGAGGCAUUUUGGAUAUAAAGGAUGACAUAUUUUAAGGUAUAAAAAGAUGAGAAUGAACAAGGAAGGAAACAAUGUAGUAGGAUAGAAAAAGCAAUGAAAUGGGACUUGGGGAUUUGCCCUUGCUGUGCAAUUAUAAGCUGUAUCAUCUCUCUGGUAAACCUCAAUUCAUUUUUUGUUAAAAAUGUAAAUUGGACUAAAUGAGCUUUAAGGUCCCCUUUUAGGUCUAAUGUUCUUUCAUACUUUUGUGUGUAAAUAGCACGAAAGUAUCAUCCAUCUAUUUAUUUCUCCAUCCGUCCAACCAUCCAUCCAAAGACAUUUGUUUAAUAUCUACUUGUGACUUUCAUUCAUUAUUUAUAGUUUUGCUCUGAAGUAAAGCUGAGCAAAUUUAAUUUUGUUCCCAUAUGACUACCCUACAAAUGCUUAUGGUAAUUUUAGGGAUAUCAAUAAGAGCAGCAUUGAUGAUGAUGAUGAUGAUAAUGACAAUAAUGACAACUGUAACAAUUAGCAUUUAUUCAACACAUUAAAGUUUUAGAACCCUCUACAUAUGUCAUAUCAUUUGAUCCUCACAAUAGCCCUGGAAGUCAGAUGCUAUUAUUAUCUCCAUGUUAUAGAUGAGGCAACAAAGGCUGAGAGGUAACAAAUGACCAGGCCAAAGUCAGACAGUUUUUAAGUGUCAGAGGUAGGAUGCAAUCUCAAGUUUUCCUAACUUCAAAUUCAAUACUAUAAUGCAUCACAUAGCUGCCUUUUUCCUAAGGGACCCAAUUCUACAUGUACAUGGGUAUUCUUACAAUCAUUACCAGACUUCUUAUGAGUUAUGUCAUGUCAUGACAUAAUUGGUACAGUGAAUAGAGUGCUGGACUUGGAUCUAGGAAGACCUAAGUUCAAAGAGAAUAAUAGACACUUAGUGUGACCUUGGGCAAGACAUUUAAUCUUUGCCUCAGUUUCUCUGUCUGUAAAAUGGGGAUAAUGAUAGCAUCUUUAUUCCAAUGUUGCUGUGAGUUGAUAUUUGCAAAGUGCUUAGCACACUGCCUGAUACAUUGUAAGCACUGUAUAUAAAUGUGUUGGUGCUGCUGCUGCUGCUGAUGAUAAUCAUGAUGAUAGUGUCUCUCUCUUAUUAGAGUAUUCCAUUUGUUUGGCAAGUUAUACAGGUGGAAUUCUUUUGAACAUCAAGUUUGGAUUAAAUCAGCCUCUGAGAUCAGUUCUAACUUUGAGAUUCAAUGAUUUUGGUCUUCUACAGGAAGAUUGCUUCAGAAAGUCUUCCAGAAAUACUUUUUCUAGGGAAGCUUCGAGGAAGUGGACAUAUGGGAUACAGUAACAAUAGUGAGCAGUGAUAUCUCCAAGUAUGGCUUUCAGUAUAUUCCAAAGUCAUUUUUCUUUUAGCUCAUUCAUAUCAUUUUUAACAUUUCCCACCAUGUGCUUCAUAUAAUGAAAGUUACAUCUUUUUUUGCUAAAAUGGGAAAAUCAUAAAAACAGAGGCUUCUAAAAGAAAAUCAGACUGAAGGGUCUUUAGUAGUUCUCAUUGUUUCAAAGUAUUCUUCCAAAUAGGUUCAUAUUACUAAGGUAAAAACCAAGGCCGUUGCAGCAUUGCCAGCUGGUAUAGUGUGCUCAUGGUCAUUGUCUUGAUCAUUCUGUUAAUUUUUUUAAAACAUCAUCUGUGCCCAAAGUAUAAUAUACUGUGUACAAAACCCACAGCUACCCAUAGCUCUUGCUCACCCUGUAGAGGCCUGAAUUUUAAUGGGGACUUGACAUAAAAGCAAUCAUGUUGUGUCUGCCUGUCUCUUUGCUUCCCCUGUGAACAUCAGGCUCAUUGAGCUUACUAUGCAUUGGUGCUCUUAUCCUUAAAUUAUUGUUUCCUAAUUUACUUUUCUAAUUAUUGAACUAAGGUUCUCAUAUUAUUGAAUAACAUUCUCACACCACUAACAUUAGCAAUGUAAAACUAAGGAUAUAAUAUGUUUAGAUGAUCAUAUUUAGAGGGAUGCUGAAAAUUGCAUAGUCUGAGGUCCUAAAUUGAUAUCUUUCUACAAUUAUAGUCCAUCUGGCCUCACAGGUUUUAGCACAUAGGUAGGGUGUAUGUUGUGAAUUGUGUGGUAUAAUGGAAAGAGUUCUCCUACUCUGUGACUCUGGUCAAUCUUGUCCCCUUUGAGACUCAAUUCUUUUCUCCAUAAAUAGGAACAACUAUUAUCUCAUAGGGUUGUUGUGAGGAAAGUAUUUUUUAACUGGAAGACUAAUAGAAAUGUGUGUGUAGGAGUGUGUGUGUGUGUGUGUGUGUGUGUGUGUGUGUGUGUGAGAGAGAGAGAGAGAGAGAGAGAGAGAGAGAGAGAGAAACAUAAAGAGAAGAAAGAUAAAAGAGAAAGGGGGGGGGCGGAGCCAAGAUGGCGGAGAAGUCACACGCGACUUUCUAAGCUCUUCUCUUACCCUCUUUAUCAAUAUUAUAUCGAGCCUCAAAAAUAG